rnacentral:rRNA from 1 species
UAGGGAAUCUUCCGCAAUGGACGCAAGUCUGACGGAGCAACGCCGCGUGAGUGAAGAAGGUUUUCGGAUCGUAAAGCUCUGUUGUUAAGGAAGAACGAGUGUGAGAAUGGAAAGUUCAUGCUGUGACGGUACUUAACCAGAAAGGGACGGCUAACUACGUGCCAGCAGCCGCGGUAAUACGUAGGUCCCGAGCGUUGUCCGGAUUUAUUGGGCGUAAAGCGAGCGCAGGCGGUUAGAAAAGUCUGAAGUUAAAGGCAGUGGCUCAACCAUUGUAGGCUUUGGAAACUGUUUAACUUGAGUGCAGAAGGGGAGAGUGGAAUUCCAUGUGUAGCGGUGAAAUGCGUAGAUAUAUGGAGGAACACCGGUGGCGAAAGCGGCUCUCUGGUCUGUAACUGACGCUGAGGCUCGAAAGCGUGGGGAGCGAACAGG